rnacentral:rRNA from 1 species
GACGAACGCUGGCGGCGCGCCUAACACAUGCAAGUCGAACGAGAGAUGAGGAGCUUGCUCUUCAAAUCGAGUGGCGAACGGGUGAGUAACGCGUGAGGAACCUGCCUCAAAGAGGGGGACAACAGUUGGAAACGACUGCUAAUACCGCAUAAGCCCACAGCUCGGCAUCGAGCAGAGGGAAAAGGAGUGAUCCGCUUUGAGAUGGCCUCGCGUCCGAUUAGCUAGUUGGUGAGGUAACGGCCCACCAAGGCGACGAUCGGUAGCCGGACUGAGAGGUUGAACGGCCACAUUGGGACUGAGACACGGCCCAGACUCCUACGGGAGGCAGCAGUGGGGAAUAUUGCACAAUGGGGGAAACCCUGAUGCAGCGACGCCGCGUGGAGGAAGAAGGUCUUCGGAUUGUAAACUCCUGUUGUUGAGGAAGAUAAUGACGGUACUCAACAAGGAAGUGACGGCUAACUACGUGCCAGCAGCCGCGGUAAAACGUAGGUCACAAGCGUUGUCCGGAAUUACUGGGUGUAAAGGGAGCGCAGGCGGGAGAACAAGUUGGAAGUGAAUCCAUGGGCUCAACCCAUGAACUGCUUUCAAACUGUUUUUCUUGAGUAGUGCAGAGGUAGGCGGAAUUCCCGGUGUAGCGGUGGAAUGCGUAGAUAUCGGGAGGAACACCAGUGGCGAAGGCGGCCUACUGGGCACCGACUGACGCUGAGGCUCGAAAGUGUGGGUAGCAAACAGGAUUAGAUACCCUGGUAGUCCACACCGUAAACGAUGAUUACUAGGUGUUGGAGGAUUGACCCCUUCAGUGCCGCAGUUAACACAAUAAGUAAUCCACCUGGGGAGUACGACCGCAAGGUUGAAACUCAAAGGAAUUGACGGGGGCCCGCACAAGCAGUGGAGUAUGUGGUUUAAUUCGACGCAACGCGAAGAACCUUACCAAGUCUUGACAUCCCUUGACGAUGCUGGAAACAGUAUUUCUCUUCGGAGCAAGGAGACAGGUGGUGCAUGGUUGUCGUCAGCUCGUGUCGUGAGAUGUUGGGUUAAGUCCCGCAACGAGCGCAACCCUUAUGGUCAGUUACUACGCAAGAGGACUCUGGCCAGACUGCCGUUGACAAAACGGAGGAAGGUGGGGAUGACGUCAAAUCAUCAUGCCCUUUAUGACUUGGGCUACACGCGUACUACAAUGGCGUUAAACAAAGAGAAGCAAGACCGCGAGGUGGAGCAAAACUCAGAAACAACGUCCCAGUUCGGACUGCAGGCUGCAACUCGCCUGCACGAAGUCGGAAUUGCUAGUAAUCGUGGAUCAGCAUGCCACGGUGAAUACGUUCCCGGGCCUU